GCCUCCUUAGCUCAGCGGUAGAGCAGCUCAUUCGUAACGAGCAGGUCGCCGGUUCAAAUCCGGCAGGAGGCU
rnacentral:tRNA from 1 species